UCUGAGUUUGAUCUUAUCUAGGUCAUUCUCAAGUGUAUGCCUGGCGAGUCUCAAUUUUUGAAACCGUAAGGUGAGUUGCCGGAGAAUACUAGGUUGAAUGAAGGUGCUUGAAUAGUCCAUCUCCAACUUUAUACGUCUUGCUUCACAUUAAAAGGUGGAUAAUAAUGUCCUAUAUUAUUAGUGCGGCACAUAUUUGAAAAGUGAUAAACAAGACUAAUUCAACAGGUGGCUGUUUACAGUACUUUGUGAGGCUUAAACCUAAAUUCGACAAGGUCUAACUAUUUACCACUCUUUGCAAAACAAGUUUUCAUCUCAGGUUCUUAUUCCUUUUAUUAUUAUUUUUCAUACUCCAAUGAGCAUGGACCUACAU